GAAAUGCUAUAAGUAAUGUGAAUUGCAGAAUUCAGUGAAUCAUCUAAUCUUUGAACGCAUCUUGCGCUCCUUGGUAUUCCUUGGAGCAUGCCUGUUUGAGUAUCAUGAAAUCUUCAAAGUAAAUCUUUUGUUAACUCAAUUGGUUUCUACUUUGGUAUUGGAGGUCUUUGCAGCUUCACACCUGCUCCUCUUUGUUCAUUAGCUGGAUCUCAGUGUUAUGCUUGGUUCCACUCGGCGUGAUAAGUUAUCUAUCGCUGAGGACACUGUAAAAGGUGGCCAAGGUAAAUGCAGAUGAACCGCUUCUAAUAGUCCAUUGACUUGGACAAUACUUUUAUGAUCUGAUCUCAAAUCAGGUAGGACUACCCGCUGAACUUAAGC
rnacentral:misc_RNA from 1 species